UGGGGAAUUUUGGACAAUGGGCGAAAGCCUGAUCCAGCAAUGCCGCGUGUGUGAAGAAGGCCUUCGGGUUGUAAAGCACUUUUGUCCGGGAAAGAAAUCCUUGGCUCUAAUACAGUCGGGGGAUGACGGUACCGGAAGAAUAAGCACCGGCUAACUACGUGCCAGCAGCCGCGGUAAUACGUAGGGUGCAAGCGUUAAUCGGAAUUACUGGGCGUAAAGCGUGCGCAGGCGGUUUGCUAAGACCGAUGUGAAAUCCCCGGGCUCAACCUGGGAACUGCAUUGGUGACUGGCAGGCUAGAGUAUGGCAGAGGGGGGUAGAAUUCCACGUGUAGCAGUGAAAUGCGUAGAGAUGUGGAGGAAUACCGAUGGCGAAGGCAGCCCCCUGGGCCAAUACUGACGCUCAUGCACGAAAGCGUGGGGAGCAAACAGGAUUAGAUACCCUGGUAGUCCACGCCCUAAACGAUGUCAACUAGUUGUUGGGGAUUCAUUUCCUUAGUAACGUAGCUAACGCGUGAAGUUGACCGCCUGGGGGGUAC
rnacentral:rRNA from 1 species